GACGAACGCUGGCGGCGUGCUUAACACAUGCAAGUCGAGCGGAAAGGCCACUUCGGUGGUACUCGAGCGGCGAACGGGUGAGUAACACGUGAGUAAUCUGCCCCUCACUUUGGGAUAGCCACCGGAAACGGUGAUUAAUACCGGAUAUGACCAUAUGUCGCAUGGCGUGUGGUGGAAAGUUGUUCGGUGAGGGAUGUGCUCGCGGCCUAUCAGCUUGAUGGUGAGGUAAUGGCUCACCAUGGCUUCGACGGGUAGCCGGCCUGAGAGGGUGACCGGUCACACUGGGACUGAGACACGGCCCAGACUCCUACGGGAGGCAGCAGUGGGGAAUAUUGGACAAUGGGCGGAAGCCUGAUCCAGCAACGCCGCGUGAGGGAUGACGGCCUUCGGGUUGUAAACCUCUUUCAGUACCGACGAAGCGCAAGUGACGGUAGGUACAGAAGAAGCACCGGCCAACUACGUG
rnacentral:rRNA from 1 species